UGGGGAAUUUUGGACAAUGGGGGCAACCCUGAUCCAGCCAUGCCGCGUGAGUGAAGAAGGCCUUCGGGUUGUAAAGCUCUUUCGGCCGGGAAGAAAUCGGCGACUCUAACAUAGUCGCUAGAUGACGGUACCGGACUAAGAAGCACCGGCUAACUACGUGCCAGCAGCCGCGGUAAUACGUAGGGUGCGAGCGUUAAUCGGAAUUACUGGGCGUAAAGCGUGCGCAGGCGGUUUUGUAAGACAGAUGUGAAAUCCCCGGGCUUAACCUGGGAACUGCGUUUGUGACUGCAAGGCUAGAGUACGGCAGAGGGGGGUGGAAUUCCACGUGUAGCAGUGAAAUGCGUAGAGUUGUGGAGGAACACCGAUGGCGAAGGCAGCCCCCUGGGCCUGUACUGACGCUCAUGCACGAAAGCGUGGGGAGCAAACAG
rnacentral:rRNA from 1 species